rnacentral:rRNA from 1 species
UGUAAGACUGGGAUAACUUCGGGAAACCGGAGCUAAUACCGGAUAACUUCUUCCCCCGCAUGGGGAAAGGUUGAAAGACGGUUAUGCUGUCACUUACAGAUGGGCCCGCGGCGCAUUAGCUAGUUGGUGAGGUAACGGCUCACCAAGGCGACGAUGCGUAGCCGACCUGAGAGGGUGAUCGGCCACACUGGGACUGAGACACGGCCCAGACUCCUACGGGAGGCAGCAGUAGGGAAUCUUCCGCAAUGGACGAAAGUCUGACGGAGCAACGCCGCGUGAGUGAUGAAGGUUUUCGGAUCGUAAAACUCUGUUAUCAGGGAAGAAUAAGUACCGUGUAACUAACGGUACCGUGACG